CCUGCGGGCGGCAGCAGUGGGGAAUAUUGGACAAUGGGGGCAACCCUGAUCCACCCAUGCCGCGUGUGUGAAGAAGGCCCUCGGGUUGUAAAGCACUUUCAGUGAGGAAGAACGCCUGGUGGUUAAUACCCAUCAGGAAAGACAUCACUCACAGAAGAAGCACCGGCUAACUCCGUGCCAGCAGCCGCGGUAAUACGGAGGGUGCGAGCGUUAAUCGGAAUUACUGGGCGUAAAGCGCGCGUAGGUGGCUUGAUAAGCCGGUUGUGAAAGCCCCGGGCUCAACCUGGGAACGGCAUCCGGAACUGUCAAGCUAGAGUGCAGGAGAGGAAGGUAGAAUUCCCGGUGUAGCGGUGAAAUGCGUAGAGAUCGGGAGGAAUACAAGUGGCGAAGGCGGCCUUCUGGACUGACACUGACACUGAGGUGCGAAAGCGUGGGUAGCAAACAGGAUUAGAUACCCUGGUAGUC
rnacentral:rRNA from 1 species